rnacentral:lncRNA from 1 species
CACGACUCAGUCCUCCAUGUGGCAGCAUGGAGUUUUCCUGCCUUUGAUCCUUUCUUGUGGUUUGACACUUACCCUGCUCCCUCUGGGGUCCAGGCUAGUGAAAAACUAAGCUGAUAAGAGGGGAUCUUUGUUAAAAUGGAGAAAACAGACAGGGAAUCUGUGCAGUUAGGAUCCUGGAAGGAAAUGGGUGGGAUCGUUCAGGAGAGUGUCGUGAGAGACCGUUUCCAAGGGUGUGAGAUGGGUAAGGGGAACCACCAACAAUGGUGGAGGUCAUUACCAAACACAGGCCAGAAGGGCAGGGAGAACGCUGGUGACCAGCACCCGGAAGCCGCUGACAGUGUGGGCUUUGGAAGACGAACACAGCAAUUGGGAGGAGAUGAUCCAGGUGCUUGUCCUUGACGGUGUCUGUCUCCACGGAGGAUAGUGGAUUCUGGAGCCAGGAAGAAAGAGAAUUUGCUGUUGUCUGCUACACGCCAAGCAUGGCUCUAUUCACCACGGAUGCAAUAAUGAAUUAGAAACACCUCUGUGCCGAAAAGCUCAUAUUCUACAGGGAGGAGGGGAAUCAUAAACAGAUAACUAGAAACAACCUGCAGGUGCAGUCAUAGAAGUAUGCCUGUGGAAAUAUGCAUCUACCAAGGAAGAGAACUUCACCUGACUUGGGGAUUUGAGGAAGACUUCCUGUUGGAAUAAUGAUGGAGAGGAAUGCAUCUAACACACCUUCUGGAAAGCAAAUUCUAUGCUGUGCUUCCACAUUAUGCACUCUGAUUCCA